UCUAUGGCAAGUAGGCACGCGGGCUUGGAGGAACGCUCCGUCUUGCAUGAUGCUUUGCACAGGUCUGUAGCUACCCACGCUGAAGCUCCAAGAUUAUACACAAACUUGGAAACUCAAGAUGCUUUGCACAGGUCAGAAGCUGCCGGCUCAUUCAUGGAAUUGCAAGCACGUGGGAAAUGAGGAGCUUCCCUGGUGCGUAAUCUGCAAUGAAGACGCCACCCUGCGCUGCCAUAGCUGCUCUAAUGACCUUUGCUGCCGCUGCUGCUACAAGGAAUUCCAGGGCUCUGAGCCGCAUGAAACAACACUGCUGAAAAAAUAAUGCAGCAACUACAGCCCUUGGAAUGCCCCCACACCCACCAAAAAAGGAAAUGCUUCGGUAGCGUCACCAAUAAUUAUUUUAUACGGCAAACUUA